GUUGGUGAACCAGCGGAGGGAUCAUUACUGAGUUGCAAAACUCCAAACCCAUUGUGUUCUUGAAUUAUCUGUUGCCUCGGCAGGCUGCCCCAGGGCGGGGCGCCUACAAUGCCUGCCGAAAGCACCCCCCAAACUCUUCUGAAACGUGUCUUCUGAAGCACUAAGAAAUAAUCAAAACUUUCAACAACGGAUCUCUUGGUUCUG
rnacentral:misc_RNA from 1 species